rnacentral:rRNA from 1 species
GACGAACGCUGGCGGCGUGCCUAACACAUGCCAGUCGAGCGGAAAGGCCCUGAUCUUGCUGGGUGCUCGUUAGGCGAACGGGUGUGUAACACGCGAGUAUCCCGCCCUUGACUUUGGGAUAACUUCUCGAAACUGGGGCUAAUACCGCAUAGGAGAUCUUGCUGCACGGGGUUGGUUGGAGAGUUUCGGCGGUUGGGUAUCGACUCGAUGCUUACCCGCUUGUUUGUGGAGUUGUGGCUUACCAAGGCUUUGACGGGUAGGCGGCCUGGGAGGGUGACCGGCGACAUUGGUACUGAGGUACGGCGCAGACUCCUACGGGAGGCAGCAGGGGGGAAUAUUGCGGAAUGGGCGGAAGCCUGAUGCAGAAGCGCCGCGUGCGGGAUGACGGCCUUCGGGUUGUAAACCACUUUCGCCUUUGACGAAGCGUGAGUGACGGUAAUGGGUAAAGAAGCACCGGCUAACUACGUG